rnacentral:rRNA from 1 species
AUUGAACGCUGGCGGCAUGCCUUACACAUGCAAGUCGAACGGCAGCGGACCUUCGGGUGCCGGCGAGUGGCGAACGGGUGAGUAAUAUAUCGGAACGUACCUUUCAGUGGGGGAUAACGUAGCGAAAGUUACGCUAAUACCGCAUAUUCUGUGAGCAGGAAAGCAGGGGAUCGCAAGACCUUGCGCUGAUUGAGCGGCCGAUAUCAGAUUAGCUAGUUGGUGAGGUAAAGGCUCACCAAGGCGACGAUCUGUAGCGGGUCUGAGAGGAUGAUCCGCCACACUGGAACUGAGACACGGUCCAGACUCCUACGGGAGGCAGCGGUGGGGAAUUUUGGACAAUGGGCGCAAGCCUGAUCCAGCCAUGCCGCGUGAGUGAAGAAGGCC